rnacentral:rRNA from 1 species
ACGCUCGACACCUACGGGAGGCCGCAGUGGGGAAUAUUGCACAAUGGGGGAAACCCUGAUGCAGCGACGCCGCGUGAGCGAAGAAGUAUUUCGGUAUGUAAAGCUCUAUCAGCAGGGAAGAAACUGACGGUACCUGACUAAGAAGCACCGGCUAAAUACGUGCCAGCAGCCGCGGUAAUCUGAGCGGGCUGGCAAGGC